rnacentral:rRNA from 1 species
CCUACGGGAGGCAGCAGUAGGGAAUUUUCCACAAUGGACGAAAGUCUGAUGGAGCAACGCCGCGUGAACGAUGAAGGUCUUCGGAUUGUAAAGUUCUGUUGUCAGGGACGAACACGUGCCGUUCGAAUAGGGCGGUACCUUGACGGUACCUGACGAGAAAGCCACGACUAACUACGUGCCAGCAGCCGCGGUAAU